rnacentral:rRNA from 1 species
AUUGAACGCUGGCGGCAUGCCUUACACAUGCAAGUCGAACGGCAGCACGGGAGUAAUCCUGGUGGCGAGUGGCGAACGGGUGAGUAAAGCAUCGGAACGUGCCCAGUCGUGGGGGAUAACGUAGCGAAAGCUACGCUAAUACCGCAUACGAUCUGUGGAUGAAAGCGGGGGACCGUAAGGCCUCGCGCGAUUGGAGCGGCCGAUGUCAGAUUAGGUAGUUGGUGAGGUAAAGGCUCACCAAGCCGACGAUCUGUAGCUGGUCUGAGAGGACGACCAGCCACACUGGGACUGAGACACGGCCCAGACUCCUACGGGAGGCAGCAGUGGGGAAUUUUGGACAAUGGGCGCAAGCCUGAUCCAGCAAUGCCGCGUGCAGGAUGAAGGCCUUCGGGUUGUAAACUGCUUUUGUACGGAGCGAAAGGGCUUCCACUAAUACUGGGGGCUCAUGACGGUACCGUAAGAAUAAGCACCGGCUAACUACGUG